ACGAAACCUCCUCCUCUCUUUCCUUCGCCCCGAAAGAAGCGCGUUUUCGAGAGGAGGAUCCGAGAAUUCCUGCAAGCGAACCAGCUUCGAAGCGGAUCUUGAAGGAGCUCAAGGAUUUGCAGACGGAUCCUCCCACGUCCUGCAGCGCAGGUGACCUCGCUGGAUCCCUGAAAACAGAAGCAUUUGUUCAUGCUUAUUGUGAUGAACUUUUGGGGCUUCGAUCCGGACUCGUAUUUUGAGAGUUUUCUUCAUUCUGUAGUGGGCUUAAUUGGAUAUCCUCAUGAAUUAGGAAAGACUGCUUUGUGGGCCGAAACCCCUUGAUGUUUACA